rnacentral:rRNA from 1 species
AACGAACGCUGGCGGCGUGCUUAAUACAUGCAAGUCGAACGGGGUCCAUCCCGGGAGAGCACUGGGGAAGACCUACUGGCGAAAGGGUGAGUAUCACGUCAGAAACCUGCCCCGAAAACCGGGAUAACAGCGGAAAACCGCUGCUAAUACCGGAUGCCCUCACCAGACCGCAUGAUCUGGUGGAGAAAUGGAUUCCCUUCGGGAGGGCCUCGCGACCUAUCAACUUGUUGGUGGGGUAACAGCCUACCCAGGCGACGACGGACUGAUGGUCUGAGAGGACUAUCACCCACACUGGGACUGAGACACAUUGCACACUCCUACAGGAGGUGAUCCUACCGAAUCUUGUGCAAUGUGAAAAAGCCUGAUGCGUAAACGCCUUUCGGGGGAUGAAAGCCCUCGGGUUGUAAACCACUUUCCCCGGGACAAUUCUGACCGUACCUGCCGAAGAUACUCCGGCCAACUACGUGCCUCCAACUCCGUGAACACAUAGGGGGCGAGCGUUGACCGGAUUUAUUGGGCGGAAAGAGCUCGGAUCCGGCUCAGAUAUGCCGUCGAGACAGCCCCGGUCUCGACCCGAAGACGCCACCCGAUACUGCUGUGUCUAGAGUCCAGUAGGAGAUCGUGGAAUUACUGGUGUAGCGGAAAAAUGCUCACAUAUCCGGAUCAACACCUGAGGCGAGAGCGGCUCUCUAGGCCAGAACUGACGAUGACCUGCGAAAGCACGCCGAGCGAAUGGAUGAUAUACCCUGGUAGUCUUCGUCGUAACGUUGGACACUACGUGU